ensembl:lncRNA
AUGCCCCACCAGCCUCGGGUCAGGCCAUCCCGGCUCUGCCCUCCCCCCACCCCCUGCAUGCAUGAAUCUUGGCCUGUGGGGCUGCGAGCAUGUGUGAGCGUGCAUACCCGCGGGGCUUUUCUCUUUUUCCCUUUUGUUCUGCUCUGACCUCUACCUGGUUCCGACAGGGCUGAGGGUGCAGGAGCUUCCUGCCGCUUUGGCCGGGCAAGGUGUGCAGCUGGGCUCUGCCUCCUUAACUCUGCACCAGCUCUCUCUCUCUCUCUCUCUCUCUCUCUCUCUCUCUCUCUCUCUCUCUCUCUCUCUCUCUCUCUCUCUCUCUCUCUCUCUCUCUCUCUCUCUCUCUCUCUCUCUCUCUCUCUCUCUCUCUCUCUCCUCCUUCCUUCCCCUCCCCUCCCCUUUCCCUUUUCCUCCGUCUCUCUCAAGAUUUCCCUGCUGCUAAGUCUGCUGCUGCUGCAGGAGAGCUGGGGGAAGGGCAGGGGUGCGGAGUCGGGGUGCUGGUGUCUUCUUUCUCUCUCUGCCCCCCCUCCAAGUGCGGACGCCACGGGAGCUCCGGCCCGCCCCCACCCCUGCAUUUGCGAUUGGCUCCGGGAGGAGGUGGCUACCGCUGCCGCUGCUGCAGCAUCUCCCGGGGAGCCGCGACCCUGCGCCCGCUGCCACUGCUGCCGCGGUCACCAGCCCAGCCCGAGGGGCGCCCAGGGUUCCCUGGUGAGUCCCUCUUAGCUGGCUGCUGCAGCUGCCCACCAGCUAGGAAAACCCCUGAAAACUUAUCGGCAGUGGUGGGGGUGUGCCCUCUGGUGAGGUGGGUGCUGAGGGUGCUGGCGCCGCGUGGCUCCAGAAGGGGUGCCUGGAGUUUUCUGUUGGCUCCCAGCAUCAUCCACAUUUGGAAAACUGCAGAGCCAGCAGCCGGCAGGGCUGCGAGGGCUGGGAGGGCGCGUCCAACCGGGAUGCAGGAACUUUGACAUACGGCUUUUUGCAAGAAAGCAGCGCCCCUGAAUGCUUGGUGGAGGGCAGGGUGGAUGGCGCCGGCUGUUCUGGGGAACUAACUGGUCCGGUAACUGAGGAAAUAGAUUAACCAGUUGAGUGCAAUAGCAGAGAUUGUGGCUAAACUUACCCUGGAACUUGCAGCCUCGACAUGAGUGCCUUGGGGGUGGGGAAUUUCUGAGGAGCGCUGACAAGGCUGUCAUGGGCUGGGACUCUGGAUUUUCUGAAGCUCUCCCAGCCCUCCCGGGAUCAAAAGGGUGCUGUGUCAGGCAUCCAGGGGCUGGAGCUGGGGCUGGGGUAGGGUUGAGCCAGUGUUCCCAGUGGAGGGACUCUGGAUAAGGCCCCACCCAAGACGCCAGCUCUGCUCGGCAUGGGGGUCUGCUUGGAGGCGGCCGCUACCACUUUUCUGCCAAGGUGGUAAACUUUUUGAGAAGUGGCUCUCAUUCAUUUGUGAACUAGCAGCUCCAGAGGAUGCAGCCUGAGUUGACUCCUGCUCUUCCGGUCCCCCCAACUUUCUGUUUGGCAUCCACACACCAUCAAAGGAACACCUGGGAGGUGGGGCAAAGAGAGGGCUGAGGUUUCUGUUCUUCGAGUUCUGAGGGAGCCAGGGUCAGUGGCUUAGCCACACGAGGGGCACCUCCAGAGGCAGGACGUUAAGGCUCCUGUACUGGCUGCCAUUUUUAUCCUUGGCUAUUUGGAGAUGAAAAAUGAACAGUUACCACAUGGGAAAUGGGCAUAGUUUCUGUCCUUGCCAGGUAGCUCAUUCUUGCUGCAUGAGGGUGCUUUUCAGCACCUUUAUCCCCUCUCCACCCUGCUUGGCUGCAGCUGCCACAGCCAAGGGACUUCUGCAUGCUGCAGGCUCUGCAGAGACAGGGCCCUCCCAGUAACUGGAGAGUCUGGAUGCUCUCUGGGGUGUUCCCUCACAGGGACAGGGCUGAUCAGGUCAUGCCAGAGACAGACAGCAUCCUGCUGACAAGGGAGAACUGGACGUUCUUUCAGGCACUGGGACUACCCUGCAGCCCCACACCAGGACCAAGCUCAGCCAGACCCUCUGUUUGCACCAGCCCGGCUCCUUCUGCAGUGGGUGUCUGCGGCUCUCUCCAUAGGUAGCCACCUGCAGGGACACCUGUUCCAGCACCUUACCUGCAGGCUCACCCUGGGUGAUGGUGAGCCUCCUAGCAUGUGAGUGUCCUCCUCCUCCUCCUCCUCCUCCUUCUCCUCCUCCUUCUCCUCUUUCUUUUCCUUCUCCCCUUUUUCUCCUUCUCCUCUUUCUCUCAGGCUGAGAACAGCUCAGGUCCACUGUUGAGGAUCUGACCUCAAAGUCCUGUCUAUCUUUCUGUUUUUCAGAUUCUCUUCUACCUGUCUCUAGGUGUAGAAGUUGGUAGGGUAGAAGGGAGUCCUCAUUUACUUCCAGGGAGAUCCCAAAAACCAAGAGGAGAAACAAAAUGCAACUAAGUUUCCCAAGAACUUUUCAAAUUUGCCUGUAUGUUUCUCAGAAGUUGGUAGAAGCACGGAUGUUUAGGUCCAGGACAGCCCCUUUGUGUAGUUGCAAAUCACUGAUCAGGGACUGGUGGAAACUGGCUGGGUCAGGUGGGGGACAAGCCCUUCAGGGUGACCUCUGAAUUUUCGUGUGAAGUGACUGUUCACCAUCAUCUCAGGUGACCAUGCUGCAUAGUGAGAGAUGGAGGCUGCUCAGCUUGGUGAUCAUAGAUGCAGAGAGAGCAUAGAGGGUUCAGAAGAGAGAAGAGGGGAGGGACCAGAGUAGAAACACUCCCUCACUGGUUAGGCAUCAGCUCUGAGGCCAGGCUGAGCCCUGAAGAACUGACCAUGAACAGGUCACCGUUAGGACCCCCAGACACUUUGUGAGGACAUGGAAUCCAAGAUCACCAUCUUUCUCUGCUUCAAAGAAAGAGGCACAGAGCUCUCCUCUCAGGGACAGAGACAGAAUGCAUCAGGGCCCUGCCAGGGAAGACAUCGCCUGUCCAGGCUGUUGAGUCCAGGUGAGAUCUGGUGGCUUCCUCUUGUCCCUUCUCAAGGACACAGUGCGGCUUUUGCUCACUGAAGGAGGGCAGAAGAGGAAGAGCCCUAGUGAGUUGGUGGAGGAGAUGUUCUGGACUCCGCCUGUGCCAGGCCUGAGUUGCUGUAAGCAUGGGCCCUGCUGUGAGAUCUCCCCAGCCCACACUUGGAGCUUGGCAUUGCUCACUUUGGCCUCAGUAAGUGAGUUUCCAAUGGUGAGAUUCCAAACAUCAAAAGACGAGGGCCUGACACGAAGGAGUAAAAUGUUCAUCUGGCACCCCUCGAGCACAGGGUGCCACUCUCACGUCCAAAGACAGUGCCCUGUCCUGUCAUGUCUCUGCACUCUGGUAGACCUCCCAAACCAUAGGGAGAGUAAGAACACCGUAGAGGGUGGAGCACACUGUUCACUGUUAUUACCUGUGCCUCCCAUGGCAUCCUAAAUCCUAUGGUGGCUGAACAGGACAUGCGUCAUCUGACAGCAUGUCUGAAUUCCACGCUCUUGGCACUGGUAGCUGCAGCAUCUGUCUCUGUGGGAAGAUGGGGUACAGGAUAUUUGUGACCCACCUGUCCUGCCCACAGCAGGGGCUUUAACCAGACUCUGUUGACAGCCACUCGCCCCUCCCCCACCUCUUCUCAGAACAGAAACUCUCCCUGACCUCCAGGACCUGUGAUUGAGUUCUUAGUUACAAGUUUUGUCUUUGAGUAGAAGCAGGGAUCACUAUGGCCCUAUCUUUGAGAUAAUAAGACACACACACACACACACACACACACACACACACACACACACACACACACACUGUCUUUCCAUUUUUGCAAAGAACAGCAAAACAAUUGUGUGUCCCUUCCCAUCCCUGCCUCUUCUGCUUGCCCCUUGUUCUGUGGGUCUGUUUCAGGUGAAAUUUAUCUCUAAGAAGGGCCUCAUCAAUUUGCCAUGCUCCUUUGUUGACAAGUUUAUUAAAAAUCCAGGCAACUCUGUAUUAAACUUUUAUCAGUUUUGAGAAAAAAUACAUUUUUUUGAACAGACAGGAAAGUUAUGGAUUUGAGCUGAAUGGGUCUUGGUGGUGUCUGGCUGAGUCAGCAUUGCUGAUACAAAGAAGUGAUGCUGUUUGUGGGCUAAGAGUUCCUCCUGUUUUUGAGUUGUGAUUUUUUUCUGGAGACUGCCCAUGGGACUCGGUACCCCCAAACAGGACUUCCAGAAAGUUCCUGAGAAGCAGUCCUGGCCAGGGCCACUCAUACUCACUGGUCUGUCUGCAACUCUUUUCUAUCUGUUUUAAUGGUGAGCCACAAUAUGGAGCUAAAUGUUAAUUUUGUGGUGAAUUUGCUUGCCAGUGGGCAAUAUCACUAUGUGGAGAAAUAUUAGGUUACUGGUGCUUAAAUUUUACAAGCUCCACAGAAAGAAAACAGAACGCACCAAGGAGGAAUUGGUGGCAUUCUCCUGAGGUGGGAGUGGGGACAGUGGGGUCAAGAACCUGCCAUUGGCUAGGGGCUACCCUGUGCUAGUCCAACUAGUGUCUUUGGCGUGGGAGGAUACAGGGUCCCCCAGAUGGGCUCUUAAGUCCUUGUGAGAACUCUGGCUACAGGUACAGCUGAACUUACUCUGUGGCCUCUCGGCAGUGGCUGGCUACACAUGGGACCAGGUAUUGGUUGUCCUUGAGCAGCAGUAUUUGGUAUUAGAAUUAGGUGAAGGAUUCAUCAUACCUACUGUGUUAGGGCAAGUGCCACAUGUCUCUGGAGCUGGCUGUGUCAUUUCUGCCCAAAGUAGCUGCUGUUCUUGACAUCCUGGGGUGAGGCUGAUGGUGCUGGAUGAAGCAGAGCCCUCUCACUGUCCUUGUUGGCCAUAUAGCCAGGGGUCACCUGUGGAACCACGGUAGGCAUGGAAUGACAGGCCACAUAGGACUAACCCUCAGUCUCAGGGUCAUCAAACUCAGGUGCUUACUGCUCCCCACACUUUUUAUGUUGAGAAACUUAGGCCCAGAGAGGCCCAGGAAACACCUAAUCACCUCUAGUUUGGAGUGCGUUACUCCAGAGUCUGUCUCAAAGGUCAGGCCUGGGGACAGACAGCUGCAAGGGACAACACUAAUCCUGCUGAGAGCUAGCUACUGCUUCUGAUCCCUGAGGCUGCUGUGUUACCUUCCUCCCAGCAGGGCGCCACAGGGGUCUUGAUCCCCUAGCAGAUGCAGGAGGGCUUCCUUGUGAGGUGGCAGCUGCUGCUCUAAUCCAUAUCCUAAGUCCGAGGAGCCUCAAGGGGUGAGAGUGAGCUGGCCGGUGCCAGCAACCACCAGCAUUGAGUGUGUGCUUGUGAGUGGUCCCCGAUCCAUCUCUAUCUCUAUUGCUCUUUGCUCCAAUUAUAACUAAUUGAGUGUGUACUGCAUUUUCAUGGCACCUAAUUUUCCAUUGAUUUUACCAGCGCUGCUGGUGUUUUCAGCAGCGAAUACCCAUGUCUAGUGUCUGUCGCUGCUUGGAAAUUCUGAGUAUGCUUCUCCCACAUGAGAUGACUCCAUCAGCAGAUGUUUUAAAACCUUUUUAUAACUGUUUGGCCCAUAAAAUCCACAAACCGUAGUGCCUAUGGUCCUGUCCCAUUCGCUUUGGAAAUCCAGUAAAGAGGAUCCCCAAAGAAGCCAUGCCCUCAGGUUCCAGUGCCAACCUUGCUAUCCUUGCAAAUGCUGCAUUUGCCAACCAUGGUUGGGUGCCUCUGUGCCCAGCAUGCCCCUGUGAGCUGACUUGCUUUCUAGGGUGGGUGGGGGAGCACCAUGGCAGAGUUACUUUUUACUAUGAUGAAGCCUCUCAUGUCUUGUGUCUGAGAGGGCAGGGUAGUUGAACAAAGAUAACAGUGCAGAAGAGGGCAGGACAGCCUGGGGAACAGAGGUUUUGAGAUGAAGUAAAUGCCCAGAUCUAGGAGAAGGUGGGUCUUGUGGAAAAGUCAUGGGUCCUUGAGGUUUUGGAGCUUUGUGAUGUGAGCAUCUUUUUGUUGUUGUUCAGAAAGAACAGAAAGAAAAUAAUAUCUACAAGGAGUUCAGGUAAUUCUUGGAGACCUCUCUGGACAGCUUCUAAUGGAGGCCGAGACCAAGUUCGCUUUGUCCAAUGGAAACAACCCAUUGAGACCAUUGGUAUAGAAGUUGUUGUCUCUUCAGGGUUCUAUGUCAUUGGUGUUUGAGGAGACUAAGCCAGUGUGUUGGCCAUUCACUCAGCGGAGUGACUAGGAGGCACUCCUGGUAGACCAUAUGGGGCAAGGGGAGCAAAGAUCAGGAUCUUUGCUGGAUGGUGACCAGGUGGUGACCACCUCAGGGUGGUGACUGGGGGAUGCUGAUGCUGCCCAAGCCUCCAUGUCCCCCUAGCGGCAAGAGGUAGUUGUGCCAAGCUGUGGGCAGACAACAGGAGCUGGUGGUGCUUCAGUUGUGUUGGGUAACAGGACACUGGGUGCUGGAUGUUAGCUCUGGAGGUGAUGACAAUAAGUCAACUCUUGGUUAAGACCAUGUAUGGACACACCCUGUAGAUUGCCUAGAGGUCCUGGUGUGUGUGAGCGAUAUGAACUCUGGCUAGCAGUGUUUACUCUCCUCCCUACACUGCUGAGUGAGUAGUUCAGGACCCAUGUCCUUGACGUAUUCAGCUCCGGUCACUCUGCUUCCCACAUGUCCUGUUAAGUCUGAGUCCAUCUGAGGAGUGCUGGGACAGUCUAGGAAGGAACCAAAGACCUGUUCAUCUGGGGGGAAAUUCCUCUAACCUGGUGACAUCUGGACAGAAUAAGAGUCUUUAUAAGGGCAAAGGGGAAUGCCAGCUCUGUCUUCCUGUGACUCUGAUCCUUGGCAAAAUGAAAUUGUGCCCAAGGGUUGGGAAUGUGACCUAGCACUGGGGUGGGAUUUCGGCUUGACACAUCAGGACAAGGGUGCCUGUGGUCCUCUUCCUUGGUCUCCAACAUGGUAGCUAAUGGCUUGGGGCCAGAUUCGGGGCUAAUUCUAUCUCUUGUCAAAUCUUCCUCUCCAUUAGCUAUAUUGACAACAUAGAUAAAGGGUGACUGUGGCCAGCAGGGAGAUGUAAAACAUUUUCAUUGGGGGCUGGAGAGGCAGGUGGGGAGCCUGGAGUUUACUCUGCUCUAAGAACAGGGGAGGAGAGCCAUGUGCUGAGCCAGAGACUGGUGGCUGCAAGUAUCUGUGUGGGCUGAAAGUCAGAUACCCCAGUGCUCCAGGGGGACAUCAAGGCCUCCCUGGGUGAAUCUUUCUGGAGGAGGUGAUGUAUCAGGGAUGCCUAGAGAAGGCUGCUGUGAACAUGGGCUGGAGUGGGUCUGGUGUAGACUGAGGUUGUGGGUUACCCAACAGUUCUUGGAUGGUUGAUAUUCCCUGAGGGACACACACAUACACCCACACCCACACCCACAUACAGACACACCACAUAGAGACACACACACAGGCAGACACACACACCGAGAGACACAUACAGAUACACACACAUACUCAUACACACGCACAUAUACAGACACACAUACAAACACAUACACACAGACACACACAGAGAUAGACAGACAGACAGACAGACAGACAGACAGACAGACAGACAGACAGACACACACACACACACACACACACACACACACACACACACGCAGAGGACACCAUGUCCCCUCUGACUCCCAUCCUUGUUCCUGGCGAACGGGUGUCAUUGGAAAACUAGUUUUCUUACAGGGAAUGUGAAACUUCUGAGUCACUGAGCAGGAACUGUGAAUUAGGAGGCUGAUAGCGCUAGAGAAUCAGGGCACAGACGCUGGCUUCUUCUGUCCCGUGUCACCUCUCAUGCCACAUAAACCAGGCUACACUGGAAUAUCCCAGCUGCUGCCCCCCCCCUCCCCGAGGCCAUGUAUGGCGUCUGAUCUACCCUUGCCCCCAAGCUCACUGCAAGCCAGGGCUGUCUGCCCAGCCACGGGCCCAUGGCUAACUGAGAGCAACCGUCUUGCCUUGACACAGUGAAAGUGCAUCUGGAUGAUGCUCAAGUGUGAAAACCUGUGACAUCUUCAAGUCCCUCAUGUGAGCCCGUGGCCAGAGUCUCGAUGGUCUUGGGAGUGACCAGACAGGACACUGGGCAACACUGGGGUAUAUAUGGGUUCAUGGCAAGUGUGAUGGAGAUUGUGGGACCCAGCUAAGGGCAGAAGGACCAACAGCUGCCCCCCAAGGUCCUGGGGGAUCACUCCGGGGCACAGAGAGGGUCUGAAUGUGCGUGUGUCUCCUCAGGCCCAGACCAUGUAGAGCUCCCAAGCCCGUGAGUCUGCAUGGGCUCCUGGAGAAGGGAGGGCCUGGGACGGGACACCAGCCUGACAGAGCCACCUUCUUCCUGGAGCCACUCGUCUCUGGAUCUGAAGCAGAAUGCUUUGCUGAAGCUGGUAAAAUGGAACCAAAUCAGCUGUUGGAUGGAUUUGGUCCCCUUCAACCAGCUGUAGCUGCGCAUUGAUGGCGCCGCCCAGCCCAGCCAGAGGACGCGGUCACGGCAAGAGGACACGGUCACGGCAAGGACUCUCCAAAGGUUGCAGGGAGGCCUCAGCAAUGUGGCUCCAGCCGCCUGGGUCCCUGAGUGGCCCUGGGUUGGAAUCCGGGGCUCCUCUUGUUUCCACCACAGGCAAGUGGAGGAGGAAGCCAACAUCUCCCCAAGCCGUGGCCGACCCAGCCCAGGUCGUUUGCCAGGAGGCUGUGAAAAUAAAUAAAUGUUCUGUUCACACCAGAGCUUUGCUUCAAAACUGAGCACUAAGGCCCAGGCAGAUGGGGUUGGGUGCAAGAAGUCUCUGGGUUCCCCUCAGUAAGUUCCAAGCUAAGGGUGCUUCCCUGGCCCUGGAAGGCAGCAUGAGUUUAUCCUGUCAGGUUUAUCCUGUCACUGGGGAGGCUGAGCUGGUGGCCACUCUCCAGAACACGUGGUGGUACGGGAUCUUUUGGGAAGAACCCCGCAGGGCCCUGCAUGGCUCUGUGGCACAGAGGCACACGUGAGGGUUGCUGUCAUGGAAUCAGGGUCAUGCAUCUGGCGGGAAGCCAGACCACCAACUGGUGCGUCUUUAGUUGGCGGAAGUGCAGGAGGUUGGCUGCAGUGAGGACACUCGCACACUUGCGCCUCUGCUUGGAUCCUUAUGCGUACAGCUCUUCCUUGGCAGGGCCCUGCAUGAGUUUGGGGCCACUGGGCACUCACAGCUAUGGUCUGGUGGCCUCUAAAUAAUGUGCCUGCCAAGAGUGAACCCCAACUCCCACCUAGAGUGGCAGGGAUAGGUUUGUUUAACUUAGGAACUAUGGCUGUUAGCCCGGAGUGGUUGAGACCUGGGACAGGGGUCUGAGAGGAGGUGGAAAGUGGCACCAGACAGACAGAAGAUUCUCCAACCCAGUCGUGGCUCAGGGUCAGCACUUAGCCCCGCUGCCUAGCCCAGCAAUCUUUCCCUGAUUCUGCAUAGACCUGGCAUCUCUCUUCACACAUGUUUGUCCCUAAGGGUGGGAACAUCAAGAAAUUGGAGGCUGUAGGAGGGGAAGGUAAGAAAGGACAGCCAACCCUUAGUGGGGUUUUAUAUCCCGGAGGCCUUUAUAGCUGGUAGUGGGGUUGGCAGCUUUCAGGGUGACAUUCCUCAACUUGAAACCCACAUGGACACACUGGCAGAGGGCUGCCCUUGAUGAGGUCUUUUGCAAACUUUUACCCAGUGAUUUGAGCUCAGUCUUGCCUAAGAGGGGAGAUUGGGGGACUCUCCAUCCCCUAACAGAGGACCUGGGAAGAAACCAAGGUCAGCCUUGGUUUGCUCUGCCUCCAUUUCCACCCAAGAGCAGAGACUGGAAAUGGUUUUCAAUGGCCUGUCAAAAACCCCACCCGGGUGAGAACUGGGCCUCACCCACCUCAAACAAGUACUGAGCCACACCCACUGUGAGCACUAGACCAUACUUCCAUGGGCACUAGAUCACAUGCAUCUAUGAACACUGGGCCACACCCAUCAUGAGCACUGAGCCACACCUAUCAUGAGCACUGAGCCAUACUGAUGUGAAUUCUGAGCCACAUCCAUCACCAUGAAGACUGGCUGCACAGGGAAUGAGCACAGGGUCUCACCCACUGUGAAUGCUGGACCACACCCACCACGAGCACUGGGAGCAGACCAAGACAUGCCCAGACCAAAUGCAGUGUGGGCAUGCUUAGUCUAUGGCCUCAACAUUUAAGAUAGGCUGUUGUGUCCCCAAACACACACCUCCUUCCUGGGCAGCCAAUCUAGCUUUGGGCCAAACAUUUCCUGACAGGACACAUCUCUAAGGCAGGUACCUACUGGGAAGAGGGGCCCAACCUGGUAAAAGGCACUUCUGGGGUCUAAGGACAGAGAUGUGGAUGGUGAAAAUUCGGCAAUGUCACCCUUGGACAGAGAGUUGACCCCCCAGUCCUAGCAUUGCUGAAAAUCCUGGGCCAGCCUGAGAUACCUCAGGCUCUCAUUAGAAAUUCAGAUUCCAGGCCCUGGUGGCCCCUAUGUCUGACCCUACAGGACAGGAGCCCAAGAACACAGAUUUUCAUCAAAUGCACCAGAGAAUCUUUCCCAUCAGGCAUUUUGACCUGGUUCCCCUCCAGCCUGGGGAUACUGGGGCCUGGCUUUCCUUUGCUGUCAUUUUACCCCAUGCCUCUGAACACUUAUGACAUUGAUCUUACCUCUGGGCUCCGGAAGUCAUUGCUGUGGUGCUUAGAGUCCAGAGUCACUGUCUAUAGGUCUUUGACCUUGUCAAUCCCCCCCCCCAUCUUCCUGCCUGAGCUGGGACUGGUAUGUACUUGCACAAUUGUCAAAUUCCAAGGCAAAGUGUGUUCCAGGGUGAAUUUCUCUCCCAUCUCUUCUUGGUCUUAGCCAUGCGAGCACAUGUGUGCACACAUCCACACAUCUGUGCCUAUAAUUCUAUGCAAAGGUCUCUCCUGGAGUCUUGUGCCUUGGCCCCACCUGGGUCAUGGGCAGCUCGGCUCAUGUCCUCUCAAGGUCCUGAAGUUUAUGGAUGAAUCCAAGAAACAUUGUCCUCUUGCUGUCCAUGAUUGUCCCUGUUCUAGGUCACUUGGAUGGCAUCCGUCUAACCUAGUUGGUGCUGAGACUUGUUUGGUGACCCUGUGGCCUGACUGAAGUCAUUCUGAUUUCUGGGAGCUCAAGGCCCAGGCCUCCUGCAAUUCUUUAUGGUCCUGUGGGGACCCCACUGUCACCCGGUACUCUCUGUUCCUUGUUUGAACUGCCAUCCCGGUCCCAGUGCCUUGUUCUUCCUCAAGUCCCUCAAGUGUCCCCAGCUUCCUGACCAUAACACUUGUAAGUGACAACUGUGUGCUGGGCCAUGGAGUCACUUGUGGUGACCUCUCGGUUCCUCUCCUCAUGCCUGGGCCUUGAGGUGAGUCUGUGGAAGAUACCACAGAGCAAGUGCUGAAAGGUGGGCUCCUAGAGGUUGUGGUUGAAUGCCGGGCUGGGUGGGGCUAGCGGAUGCGACCCUGGAGCUCUGAAUGCAAUCGAAGCUGAGCCCACCCAAGUGAGAUGGAGUGCUUCCAAUCCCUGCUUCCAUCCUAACCUGAAGACAGGAUUCUUGUCUGCCUGGGACACCAGCUUGGAUUAAUUUUCUUCAUGGGAUCUUAACAAAUGUGCUCGUGUCUCAACUGUACUCUGGGCUGCACAGUUGGGCUCUAGGUCCUGCCUGGAGCAUUUCUUUCCUACAAGCUGGACCCUAGGUUCCUGUUACUGACAUCUGAGUAUGGAAAGGGCAAAUGGCCUUAAGGACAAUCUAUCUCUGAUGACACAAGGCAUUCCCCUGUCAUUGAUAGGACACUGGCGCAGGAGGGCAGUACCUGAGUUCAUAUUUAGUGAGGCUCCGGGUGGUGUGAGCAGGAUGUGUCCCCUGCUGUCCAAGCCACUUCAGAGGAUUCCGUUGGUUCUGCUGCAUCUGGAUAUACCUUACCAAGCUUUCAGGCUUGGUGGGUCUGUUUUGUUUGUUUGUCUUUGGUUUUUGUCAAGACAGGGUUUCACUCUGUAGCUUUGGAGCCUGUUCUGGAACUCUCAUUGAAUGGGAAUCUUUCCAUUUCAACUAGACUGGCUGGUCAGUGAACUCUAGGGAUCUGACCAGCCCUGCCCCUGUCCCUGCUGCCAUGAUGGGGUAACAGGCCUGUACAACCACGCCUGUCUCUUUACAUGGAUGCUGGGAAUUCAAAUUCAGGUCCUCAAGCCUCCAGAGCAGGCCCUCUUACCUGUUGGAUCAUCUCCUCAGCCUCACAUAAACUUCUGGUUGUUGUUUUUAAACAACAUACAAGCCAUGUAUGGUGGUCUGUGCCUGUAAUCCCAGCACUUUUCGAAGUAGAGGCAGAAGUUUGGCUACUUAGUGGGUUAGAGGCCAGCCUUGGCUAUGCAAGACCCUGUCUCAAAAAAACAAAUGAAAGAAAAUAAAACCAAGACUGAAAUAAAAGACAUAAGGGAUAACCCUACUAUACAAAUGCAUGGUUUAAUUGGUUCAUCUGAGGCAAACAAACUUACACCCGUGGAAAUGUCAGAACUCUGCCUCUUCAUCCAGAAUGUUCCACAGGCCUUCACAGUGGAACACAGUCAUUCACAGCCUUCCUCUGUCCAAGAGUGACCCUGGCCCGUCCUUUAGAGGCCACCGACUAUGUUUUUUUUCCUGAACACUGUGACUGAGUUUUGCCUCUCUUCUUAAAACUUAACAGCUGAGUAGUACUCCCUUGUGUAAAUGUACCACAUUUUCUUUAUCCAUUCCUCAGUGGAGGGACAUCUUGCUUGUUUCCAGGUUCUGGCUAUUACAAAUAAAGCUACAAUGAACAUAGUUGAGCAAGUGUCCUUAUGGUAUGAUUGAGCAUCCUUUGAAUAUAUGACCGAGAGUGAUAUAGCUGGGUUUUGUGGUAGGUUGGUUUCUAGUUUCCUGAGGAACCGCCACACUGACUUCCAAGUGGCUGUACAAGUUUGCACUCUCACCAGCAAUGCAGGAAUGUUCCCCUUGCUCCACAUCCUCUCCAGCCUGAGCUGUCACUUGUGUUUUUGAUCUUAGCCAUUCUGAAAGGUGUCAGAUGGAAUCUCAGAGUCAUUUUAUUUUGCAUUUCCCUGAUGGCUAAGGAUAUUGCACGUUUCCUUAAGUGUUUCUCAGCCAUUUGAGAGUCCUCUGUUGAGAAUUCUCUGUUUAGAUCUGUACCCCACUUUUUAAUUGGAUUAUUUGGCUUGUUGAUAUUUAAUUUCUUGAGUUAUUUAUUUAUAUAUUUUGGAGAUCAGUCCUCUGUCAGACACAUUUUUCCAUUCUGUGAGUGGCCAUUUUGUCCUAUUGGCGGUGUCUUUUGCUUCACAGAAACUUUUCAGUUUCAUGAGGUCUCAUUUAUGAGUUGUCCAUCUUAGUGCCUGUGCUAUUGGUGUUCUGUUUAGAAAAUUGUCUCCUGUACCAGUGCAUUCUAGAUUAUUUCCCAUUUUAUCAGGUCCAGUGUAUCUGGAUUUAUGUUGAGGUCUUUGAUCCACUUGGACUUGAAUUUUGUGCAGGGUGAUAAAUGGAGUACCCCAGCUUAGACCCCUGGCAAUCGUGGUUAAAUAGCCUGUCUCUUGUGACUAGAUUGGUGCCUGACCCAAUUGUCAUGAGAGGGUUGUCAGCCAGCAACUGAUGGAGGCAGAUGUAGAGACUCAUAGCCAAACAUUAGGCAGAGUUUGGAAAUCCUGUGAAGGAAGAGGAGGAGAAAGUGCAGGAGCCAGAGGGUUCAAGGACACCACCGGAAGGCUCACACAAUCAACUAACCUGGGCUCCCAAGGGCUUGCAGAGACUGAACCAACAACUGGGGAGCCUGCAUGGGACUGAUCUAGACACUCUGCAUAUAUGUUACAGUUGUGUAGCUUGGUCCUCUUAUGGGACUCCUAACAGUGGGAACAUGGCUGUCUCUGACUCUUUUACUGGCUUUUGGGCCCCUACUUCUCAUGCUGGGUGGCCUUGCCCAACCUUAACACACGGGGAGGUGCUUAGUCUUUCUGCAACUUGAAGCUCCAUGAUUUAUUGAUACUCUUAGGAGACCUAACCUUUCCUGGAUGGCGAUGGUAAAGAGAGAGAUUGGGGGGG